AGCGAACGCUGGCGACAGGCCUAACACAUGCAAGUCGAACGAACUCUUCGGAGUUAGUGGCGGACGGGUGAGUAACACGUGGGAACGUGCCUUUAGGUUCGGAAUAACUCAGGGAAACUUGUGCUAAUACCGAAUGUGCCCUUCGGGGGAAAGAUUUAUCGCCUUUAGAGCGGCCCGCGUCUGAUUAGCUAGUUGGUGAGGUAAAGGCUCACCAAGGCGACGAUCAGUAGCUGGUCUGAGAGGAUGAUCAGCCACAUUGGGACUGAGACACGGCCCAAACUCCUACGGGAGGCAGCAGUGGGGAAUCUUGCGCAAUGGGCGAAAGCCUGACGCAGCCAUGCCGCGUGAAUGAUGAAGGUCUUAGGAUUGUAAAAUUCUUUCACCGGGGACGAUAAUGACGGUACCCGGAGAAGAAGCCCCGGCUAACUUCGUG
rnacentral:rRNA from 1 species